GUCACACUGCAAUACAAAUGAUACAUAUAAAGAUCAAAUAAUAUCUCUACAAACGUUAGUAUCCAAACAAACCCCAACGCUAACAAGAGUAAAUAACAUUAAGGCUCUUUCACCAAAUCAAAUUGAUAAUAUCCACACGAGGAGUAUUCCACUGGGUAUUAAGAAAAUGUCAUCAACACACAAUAUAUCCCAAGUGGUAUUGGCAGCCAUUUUUGUGUUAGCUAAAUCCCUUUUGGCCUUUUCUCAAUUCUCAUCCCUCCAGUUUCUGUAAAUAGAAUCCUCAAAAUCCCAAUUUAGCAAAAUAUGAUCUGAUUCCAGUCUGGAAGCUAUACAUCAUCAUCAAACUGUCAAUAAAGUUGAUAUUAAAUGAAAUUGCAGGAUAAUACAAUAAUGCUAAAAGCCAUACCAGCAUGACUGGACAGAUACCACUAAAUGAUAAACGAGAAAUCAAUCACCAAAUCCAAUCCAAGACGUUUCAUUCAAGGGAAAUAGAUUGCCCCGAAAUACACAAAUGGUAUAUCAAAAUUAUAUUAAUCCAAGUCUUUUCAAAUUAAUAGAUUUUUCUAACAUAUAUAGUGGUACAUAAUUUGCUCUCUAGUACAACUUGUUCUGCAAAUCAAAUCAAAUCUAUUAAUUCCUAUUUUUCCAAAAUAAACUUUAUAAUAAAAACAAAAUCUUCAAUUUAAUUUUAAUAAUACUAGCUAUUUAAUUUUCUUGGUCUGCAUCAAGAGUAACAGAAAAUUACAUACACGCAUAUACGUUUGCGUCAACACCAGGAAGCAAAAUGUGUAAAUCUCAACACAUUUUUUUAUGGGUAUGACCUAUAUGCAUGAACAAACCAAGCAGAUAUGUUUGCAUUAACACUUCAAAGAUAUUUCAAGAGAAGAAUGCUAACCUUCUCAACAGCAAUGAGCAGCAAAACAAAAAAAUUCUAAUCAUCAGCUUUUCUUAAUCUUUUCCAGACUCACUAAGAGUGGUAAUAGCAUAUAUUCAUAAAAUCAAGUUCAAUUCAAUUCAAAAAAAGGUACCAACUUGACUAUUUGGAAAUGUCUGUUGUUAGUUGUUCACCAGACGUGAAUCGUCACCAAGGGCUGCAGACUCAGAAUUGGGGGAGGAUGCCUGCUGUUUUUGCCAUUGCCAAUGGACCAAAAAGAACUGAUGAAAACAACCUAGUCUAAGAUAAAUAUAGGAUAAGGGUGGAUACUUCUUACAGUUAAAUUCUAUGCUGCGUAUGCAACUCUGAAUUUCGUGUUUCAUAGUAGGGAAUCCAAAACUAAAGUCAAAUAUCAAGAAAAUAAUUAAUCUGUAUCAUGAAGUACAAAUGAAAAACAAAAGGAACUACUGUUCAAAGAUUUCUUUUUUGAUUAGUAGCAAAUUUAGUAGCUUUCUACAGAUAGCAACAAUUAAGCAGCAAGGUUACUUUAGGCGUGCAAUAUAAAAUCAAGUCAGUUAGGGAAGACUUUAAGAUUAUGGGCAGGUUCGGGAGCCAAAAACAUGGGGAGUGAUGAUUGAAAUAUGUGGUUGAUCACAAGAAAAUGACACAAUAACAAUUAUCAUUCCUUACCAGAAUAGGUAACCAUGGGACAUUAUUUGAUCUUUUAACAGACCAUAUAACAACAAAACUAGCUGGGUACAUCUCAAGAUAAACACUAGUGUCAAUGACAAUGAUAAUGAUAGUAUGCUUAACAGUCUCACAUGUUCAGUUACUAUUAAAACAUUCUCACAUGUUCAGUUAGUCAAUCAUUUCACAAUUAAGUACCAUAUAUGCUAACUUAUAUCCAACAAAUCCAUACCUAACAGUUAUGGAUAAAAAGCCAUAUCCAGCAAGUUCAUAUCAAAGUAACCAAAACAAUUAUGGAUAAACUCGCAUCCAACAAGUCCAUGCCAAAGUAACCAAACAGAACUUAUGGAUAAACUCACAUCCAAACAAGUAAUAGAUCCAAAUCGUUCUUUCUUUAAUGAUUCUGACCAACAUACAGUAAAUCCCUAAUUCUGAAUGCAUAAACUACUAAAACACAGAUCAAUCAAAAAAACAUUAUUAAACCAAUAAAGACAAAACCCAACAACAAUUAAACCCAAAAGUAUCCCAUUUAUCAUUCAACUAACAUUUGAGAUUUUCUUAAUCUCAAUUCGUAUUACAAGUAAAUUGAAUCACAACAUCAGUUAUAGUCAAAAUAAAAACCAAAUCAAAAAAGGGUAGAACAAAACUGUAC
rnacentral:lncRNA from 1 species